GGGCGAGUGGCGGAACUGGCAGACGCACUAGACUUAGGAUCUAGCGCCGCAAGGCAUGGAGGUUCAACUCCUCUCUCGCCCA
rnacentral:tRNA from 3 species